rnacentral:tRNA from 1 species
UGCCCGCUAGCUCAACGGUAGAGCGUUCGGCUGUUAACCGAAAUGUUGAUGGUUCGAAUCCAUCGCGGGCAG